GGGCCCGUGGCUCAGCAUGGUUAGAGCGCUCGACUGAUAAUCGAGAGGUCCUGAGUUCAAAUCUCAGCGGGCCCA
rnacentral:tRNA from 1 species